UACAGAGGGGGCAAGCGUUGUUCGGAAUUACUGGGCGUAAAGGGCGCGUAGGCGGCCUUCUAAGUCGAACGUGAAAUCCCUGGGCUCAACCCAGGAACUGCGUCCGAUACUGGAAGGCUUGAAUCCGGGAGAGGGAUGCGGAAUUCCAGGUGUAGCGGUGAAAUGCGUAGAUAUCUGGAGGAACACCGGUGGCGAAGGCGGCAUCCUGGACCAACACUGACGCUGAGUGAGCGAAAGCCAGGGGAGCAAACGGG
rnacentral:rRNA from 1 species